AUUUGACGUUACCUACACGAAGAAGCACCGGCUAACUCCGUGCCAGCAGCCGCGGUAAUACGGAGGGUGCGAGCGUUAAUCGGAAUUACUGGGCGUAAAGCGCAUGCAGGCGGCCUGUUAAGUCAGAUGUGAAAGCCCGGGGCUUAACCUCGGAAUUGCAUUUGAAACUGGCAGGCUAGAGUCUUGUAGAGGGGGGUAGGAAUUUCAGGUGUAGCGGUGAAAUGCGUAGAGAUCUGAAGGAAUACCAGUGGCGAAGGCGGCCCCCUGGACAAAGACUGACGCUCAGAUGCGAAAGCGUGGGGAGCAAACAGGAUUAGAUACCCUGGUAG
rnacentral:rRNA from 1 species